rnacentral:rRNA from 1 species
UACAGAGGGGGCAAGCGUUAUUCGGAAUUAUUGGGCGUAAAGGGCGCGUAGGCGGCACGGCAAGUCGGGAGUGAAAGGCCUGGGCUCAACCGAGGAACUGCUUUCGAGACUGCCGAGCUAGAGUGCGGAAGGGGCAACUGGAAUUCCCAGUGUAGCGGUGAAAUGCGCAGAUAUCGGGAAGAACACCCGUGGCGAAGGCGGCUCUCUGGAACGGUACUGACGCUGAGACGCGAAAGCGUGGGGAGCGAACAGG